UUUCCGCCCGGCGCAGAACAUCCCUGUGUUGAGCGUUUUUCCGAAAAAAUCCGGAUCACUCUGCAAGCACUCAAUGAGCGAGAUGAUGGGAACCUGGGCACUUUGUAGCCUAUCCGCUAGCACUCCGUCCAGCUUGUUUCCCCAGCCGACGAUGGUCCCGGUUUCGCUUUCGAACUCUUUAAUGGCCUCUGAUUCCUUUGGCAAACAAGCCGGCUGGAUAUAGUCGGUGAAGCUGACCGCAUGUCUUAGUUCCAGCACUGCAACGUCAUUUUUUGGAGUCCCGAACGUGAAUUGCUCGUGCACGAUAGCCCGCUUAACGGCCACUUCCACCUUUUGGCGCGAGGACUCCGCCAAAUCAUACUGUCCAAGCUCAACAACCGAGGCAUCACUCUUUCCACGGCGAUGUUUGUUUCCCGCACAGGAUGCCGUGGUGAGGACAAACUUGGCGCCGAUCAGGGUCCCACCACAUACGUAUUUUCGGACGCGACCCUCAUCCUGAACGUGAUAUACAGCCGCGUGCCACGGCCACUCGCCCGGGACGGUUUCCGAUCCACCGACUAUCAGUCCUCGUGUGGAUAUUUUCCGGGUUCCACACACCGGUUUCGGGUACCGGAGCAACGGUUGCACUUGUUGACACUCAACACACAAGAUCGCCAAUAGUAUCGGCAAAAUAUGGUACAUCACAAUCAUCAUCGCCAUGAUAAUCGCAACUGUUGUCCUCAACUCGUUCAACUCAACUCAAUCAUUAUUUCAUUCGCAGCAGCGCGGCUUUUGGCUUUACCCAUGACGUAGCCCCGACGACUGAUAAGCCAAUUAGGUCGCGAUCUCCGGAUUUCUCGUACCCGUCGUUUCAACAGUUCCAGCAGUAAAAAUUAAUCACCCGAUCCGGUGUGAUCGAAUGAUGCGAGGUGAGACCACACACCGCAACAUAUUCGAUGGGGGAGGGGGCAAAAAGAAAAGCGAGGAAGAACAAACCCAUAAUGUCCAGUCAUCAACACGAGAGAGAGAGGUGAACAUAAACAUGAAAAUACCACAGCGAACCCGGGGGAUCGUUACCGGGAUCGCGCUUCCUUCGCGGUUACUUUGGAUCGUACCGAUCACACACACAUACAAGUGAACUGUAGCAAUAUUAAUUGUGAUGACAAGUACUUCUGUUGAAAUCUCUAUCAAAAUUGAAAAAUAGCAAAAUAAAAAAAUUAAAAUAAUU